rnacentral:sRNA from 1 species
CCCAGGCUCAAGGCAAAUUAUAAGUAGGGAACCAAUUUGAGGGAAAGACAUAUGAACAGAGUUAAGGUACCACGUCCUGGGAGUGACCAGCAGCCCCACCUGAAGUCCGCAUGCAACUCUGACAAGCUCAGGUGCUUGUUUUAAGGAAAGGGGCUACUAGAUUCUUACCAACAGCGAGCCCAGGUGGGAGAUGAAACAGGUACUCCCCAAAAUAGGUCAUCGGAGGGAGGAAAACUGAUGGAGAGCACAAUAUGCUCUAAGCGGUUUUAAUGUUUUUAAGCUUUUAAAUGAUUUCUUCGAGGCCGAGCAGCAGCAAAGGUGUGGUUUAAAGGAUUAAGAGGGUUUUGCUGACACCUAGAAUGAAGUUACUCUAUUACUAACCAAGCCGAGAGGAGGCCCACUAUGCCCCCGUUUAUCAUCCUUUCCCAGUUCCUUUUUGCUGGUCACAAAACGAUGCUCAUCAAUCCCACCUAAAGCAGGAGGCCGGGAGCCCAGCCUCUUGUAGAAACAGCGAGGGUAUAACUGCCCUCCCGUUCUGCCCCCAAGACGAAGGAGGACUCUUGGAAGCCAAGAAAGGUUUAAGAAGUCUUUCUGGAUAGAGGGAGGAAGCCUUUCGCCGGCAGAGCGGGGUCCGAGGACGAGCUGGAGAGGACAGAGGCGCGAUGGGCCUGCUGCAGGGCCUGCUCCGAGUCCGGAAGCUGCUGCUGGUCGUCUGCGUCCCACUCCUGCUGCUGCCUCUGCCCGUCCUCCACCCCAGCAGCGAGGCCUCGUGUGCUUACGUGCUGAUCGUGACUGCUGUGUACUGGGUGUCGGAGGCAGUGCCUCUGGGAGCUGCAGCCCUGGUGCCGGCCUUCCUCUACCCGUUCUUCGGAGUCCUCCGAUCCAAUGAGGUGGCGGCGGAGUACUUCAAGAACACCACGCUGCUGCUGGUGGGGGUCAUCUGCGUGGCGGCUGCUGUGGAGAAGUGGAACCUGCAUAAGCGCAUUGCUCUGCGCAUGGUCUUGAUGGCUGGAGCCAAGCCGGGCAUGUAAGUCUUAUUUGGGAUGCCAGGCCGUAGGGCAUCCUUCUAGCUCCCACCAGGACAGUGGUCUCAGGUCACUGCAGGAUGUCCACUUCAGCCUGUUUUUUUACCAAAGGGAUGGGCUGACACCAGAGCCAUAGGACCCGUCCAGGUAGAGGGCCUGUGAUAAUGGAGUAGAGAUUUGAACCUGUGACCUUGCUAUCAUUAUCCAAAGAACUUACCCAUUAACCUAGGCUGCAAGGGCAGCAGCUUACGACAUAUAGGGGCCCAUUAGGUAAAACAGGAUGGACCAAGAGAAAUUGUUUCCCAACCUGUUUCCUGUGUAUCAGGGAACAGGCUGGACCGGAAGUGGCUGUCUUCUCCUGUGUCACUGAAGGAGCCGUGAAUGUUUCUUCCCAUCCACUCUGAGUUUUUGUCAUCAGUUCAGACCACAGACCCAGUUAGAGACACUGCAUUUGACUGUGAUGCGGGAGGGAGUCCCACCAUCAGGGAAUGUGUCACGGUGUCAAGGUUGAGUUUUGUGUUAGCUUCAGUGAUGUUCCAUUUGGAUUCCCCUCCCUGUACCUUCCCUUUUGGAAUAUCCUGCUCACCUCCUUCUAGUUUACAACUUUCUUGCUAUAUUUUAUGUAAGCUGCCCUGACUCCUAUGGGAGUCAACGCAAGUAUAAAUAAAUAAU